rnacentral:lncRNA from 1 species
AUGCGGGGACCCAGCGCAGAGGCAGCGCCAGGUAGCGGGGCGCCCCGCGAGGGGAGGGCUGGAGCGAAGCCCCCGGCGGAGCGGCCGGGAGCGCGGCCGAGGCGGGGUGCCCGGGCCCGGCGCCGGGUCGGGGCGCUGCCGAGGCCGGCCCUCCGGCUCGCAGCGUGCCGGGACCCCCGGCGGGGCCGCAGAGGCCGGGCAGUCGGGCCGAGGGCGCUAGGACCGGCCGCGCGCCCAGGCCGCUCCCGCCGCGGCGCCCCGGGGCCCCCCAGUCGGCGCUGCCUCCCGGGCCGGCUCCGCAGCGCCGGGGCCGGGGCCAGCGCGGCCGCGGGGGGCGAGCAGCGGGCGGAGGCCUGGGCCCGCGGGCGGCCGGAGGGAGGGAAGGAGGAAGGCGGAGAGAAGGGGUGGGAGGGGGGGACCCGGCGGAGGAGGCGGAGAGAGGGAGCGCGACAGCGAGCGGAGGGAGGGAGCGAGCGAGCGAGGCAGGCAGGCGGGCCGGGAGGGAGGGAGGGCGCGCGGGCGGCGGCGGCGGCGAGAGCAGAGGACGAGCCGGGACGCGGCGCCGCGGCACUAGGGCGCGCAGCCGGGCCGGCCCGACCCGACCGGCCACACGGUAAUGAGCGCCGCUGCUGGCGGCCCGGGAGGCCGGCCCGGAGGCGGGCGCGGAGGAGGGGAGGCCGGGCGGGGGGCACGGCGGCGGGCAGUGCCCGGCGCGGGGCACGCUCCUGGACCCCUGCAACUCGGCGCCGGGCGCUCGCGGGGCCAGGGCUGCGGGCAGGGGCGGCGGGCCGGGCUGGCCUGGGCGGCGCGGGGGAUUUGAGGGUUUGUUUAUGUCCCCGCGGGCUCGGCAGGCGCCCCCUCCCGUCCCGCCCGCUCCCGGCGCGGAGCCCCCUCCCCGCCCCCGCCCGGCUCCGGGCUCAAGUUCAAGUCUAUACAAUGCCGCGGGGGGCCCCCUCCACCGCCGGCCGCCGCCGCGGUGCCCGGCUCGGCGCUGCCGCAGGGGCCCGGGCCUGGCCGCCCCCGCCUUCCGGGCCCUGCCCCCGCCCCGGGGCCCCGCCUGGGGCCUGCGGCCGGGGCGCUGGAGGGCGCGGACCCCGACCCGGAAUAAUCGGCCCCCGCGGCGGCCCGCAGGGAGCGGGGGAGGGGGGCGGGGGCCGGGCCCCGCGCAGGCUCCGCGGCGGCGGCAGAAAAUGGCAGCCUGGCACGACCCGGCCCCCCGCCCCUCCCCCCGGCUCCCGGCCCUCCUCGGCCCGGCGGGGCGGGGGACCCGGGAGGCCCCCGGGGGCGGGCCAAGGGGUGAUCUGGGGGCCGGGCCGGGGAGCGCUGCGUAGCGAUCCUCCUCCGGCCACCUGUGGCUGGGGGUGCGGGGUGCCAGCGGAUCUGGGAGGGGCGGCGGAGGUGGGGAGAGUGCCACUUGGGGGGCACACCUCCGCGCGGAGGGCCAGGCGGCGCGCGGGGGGGACGUCGUGCCUGGCUCCUCCCUGCCCCCGCCGCGGGCCGUGGGAGCCGGGGCGGCGGCGGCGGUGGCGGCGGCGCCGCAGUGUGGGGGCGGGGCGGGGGCGGGCGAAGAUCCCGGGCCGGGGCCGCGGGGGCCGGAAAACGCGGGGGUGA